rnacentral:rRNA from 1 species
UACGGGAGGCAGCAGUGGGGAAUUUUGGACAAUGGGGGCAACCCUGAUCCAGCCAUGGCGCGUGAGUGAAGAAGGCCUUCGGGUUGUAAAGCUCUUUCGGCCGGGAAGAAAUCGUGCAGGCUAAUACCCUGUAUGGAUGACGGUACCGGAAUAAGAAGCACCGGCUAAAUACGUGCCAGCAGCCGCGGUAAUACGUAGGGUGCGAGCGUUAAUCGGAAUUACUGGGCGUAAAGCGUGCGCUGGCGGUUUUGUAAGACAGGCGUGAAAUCCCCGGGCUCAACCUGGGAACUGCGCUUGUGAAUGCAAGACUAGAGUACGGCAGAGGGGGGUGGAAUUCCACGUGUAGCAGUGAAAUGGGUAGAGAUGUGGAGGAACACCAAUGGCGAAGGCAGCCCCCUGGGUCGAUAAUGACGCUCAUGCACGAAAGCGUGGGGAGCAAACAGGAUUAGAUACCCUGGUAGUUCACGCCCUAAACGAUGUCAUACUAGUUGUUGGUAGUGUAAAACCUAUUAGUAACGGAGCUAACGCGUAAGUUA